rnacentral:tRNA from 1 species
UACAUUUUAGUAUUCAAUGUACACAAAUUUUUGAUAUUUGUAGGAAUGGGGAGAUACCAUUAAAUGUAA